AUAUCCAUCUAUCCGAUCCUCACCGACCUUCUUAUCGGCGAGUGAUAGCGGCAUAUCCUAUAUCUGAUUCGAUCUAUAUCGUUCUUUAUUCGAUUCUAUAUCGAUUUUUUCGGUAUCCGAACGACCAAAAAUGUCACUAUCUUGGACUCCUCCAAGAAUUGGAACUUGUGGUACAAGAUGAUGCUAAGUCUUGCCAUAGAACUAGAAGUAUUAGAUUUUAUCAGUGAUGAAAAACCUGAUUGCAUCAGUCAAAUACCCAAGCCAAAUCCUCCAGAAUUCCUUACCGAGCAUACCAUGGAAACAAAGAUU
rnacentral:sRNA from 1 species